rnacentral:tRNA from 1 species
AAGAGAAAAUUGGUAUAAAACACGGCUGCUAACUUUGUUUUGGAUAAUUCGAAUAUAUCCUUUCUCUU